GACGCCGAUUCUCAGAUCUUAGUGACUCAAAAUCGUCGUUUUCGGAGCAGUGAUGGUCGGCGGUGGCGGGUGGAUUGUGGGUGGAGAUGGUGGUUGAAUUCCACGGCGGUCCAAGCAACGUCGGCGACUUCAAGCACCGUCUUGGCAACCUCGACGGCGUCACGGGUUCGCAUGAUUUGAUAUUUGACUAUGACAGAAUUUUGAUUUGGGGGAAUAUUUUCUUCCCCAAUCCCUAAUUUGUGUGCGUUUUCUUUUUCUUUGGAAGUUUUCACAAGAAACGGGUUGUCCUUUCCACGUG